GAUGAACGCUGGCGGCGUGCCUAAUACAUGCAAGUCGAGCGAACAGACGAGGAGCUUGCUCCUCUGACGUUAGCGGCGGACGGGUGAGUAACACGUGGAUAACCUACCUAUAAGACUGGGAUAACUUCGGGAAACCGGAUCUUAUAGCGGAUAAUAUAUUUAACCGCAUGGUUCAAUAGUGAAAGACGGUUUUGCUUUCACUUAUAGAUUGAUCCGCGCCGCAUUAGCUAGUUGGUAAGGUAACCGCUUACCAAGGCCACGAUGCGUAGCCGAUCUGAGAGGGUGAUCGGCCACACUGGAACUGAGACACGGUCCAGACUCCUACGGGAGGCAGCAGUAGGGAAUCUUACGCAAUGGGCGAAAGCCUGACGGAGCAACGCCGCGUGAGUGAUGAAGGUCUUCCGAUCGUAAAACUCUGUUAUUAGGGAAGAACAAAUGUGUAAGUAACUAUGCACGUAUUGACGGUACCUAAUGAGAAAGCCACGGCUAACUACGUG
rnacentral:rRNA from 1 species